GCCAGCAGCCGAGGCAGGGUCAUAGGGGUAUGUUAUUCUAAACCGAAGCACCCAGUGCUCCGGCAGAAAAUAGUCCCUUCGGAAUGUGUAUCUUUCACACUCAAACAAUUGUUGUAUUAGACCAGGUUUAAUGUCUUCGACCGGGAACAAGUGUCUUGACCUAUCGGUUGCGUGAUUUUAUCAGCCACCGUAGCGAUUUUGAACGUGUUGAGAUCCGCUGGACGAGAGAGGCUGCAUGUCAUCAAGUCCCAACAAUAGGCAGCAGAGAAAGAGACGGAGGGUGAAGGAGAGAGAGAAGGUACAGACAGACAGGAGGGGGAGGGUUGGCAUGUUCUGCUCCCGGGGCGGAAGGAGACGUUGCACUCAGGCAGGAGAAUGAAUCGCAGCGCCACCGAGCCUGGAACCUCCGACGUAGUAGAAUGGAACUGAGAAGAACCACAGUUACAUUGUAGCCAGAAACAAACCCCCUCCUGACGUAGUAGAAUGGAACUUAGAAUAAUCACAGUUACAUUGUAGCCAGAAACAGAACCCCCCGAAUAUUGUUCCAAUAUAACAGUUCCGUCUGAGGAAUAGAAACACAGCGAUGCGGAACAGGCGCUGAACAGGAGCGGCCGGGGUGAGAACAAGGCAGAAAGAUGGGCGCCGUGCUACGGACUGUGUUGUUGUGUAGUUUUUCUUUGCUAAUAAGAGGUGUACCCCUCCUGCUCUAUGCCAACCGACGGGACCUGCGGCUGGUGGAUGCGGCUCACGGCAGGGCCAACGCCACGGUGGUGGUGGGCGGUCUGGAGGACGCCGCCGCUGUGGACUAUAUAUACGCUCAGGGAUUGGUCUACUGGAGUGACGUCAGCGAGGAGGCAAUCAAACGCACCACCUUCAACCAAUCAGGGCCCGGCUCGGCGGCGGCCGCCCAGACGGUGGUUGUAUCGGGGCUGGCGUCCCCGGACGGCCUGGCCUGUGACUGGUUAGGCAGGAAGCUGUACUGGACGGACUCCGAGACCAAUCGGAUAGAGGUGGCCGAGCUGGAUGGAUCGUUACGGAGAGUUCUCUUCUGGCAGGACCUGGACCAGCCCCGAGCCAUCUCUCUGGACCCGGGGAGAGGGUACAUGUACUGGACGGACUGGGGCGAGGUUCCUAAGAUUGAGCGAGCAGGGAUGGACGGUACCAACAGAGCCAUGAUCAUUGACAAGGAGAUCUACUGGCCCAACGGUCUCACGCUGGACUACAGCCAGGAGAAACUGUACUGGGCUGACGCCAAGUUCAACUUCAUACAUCGCUCCAAUCUGGACGGCACUGGGAGGGAGGUGGUGGUUAAGGGAGAUCUCCCUCACCCCUUCGCUCUGACGCUGUACGAGGACACUCUCUUCUGGACCGACUGGAACACCCAUUCCAUCCACUCGUGUCAGAAAGAGACCGGGGAGGAUCGGAAGAAAGUCCACUCGGACAUCUUCUCUCCCAUGGAUAUACACGUCUACAGCCAGAAGAGACAGCCGCUACGUCCCACACAGCUUCCUCCUGUCCCCACUGACCAGCCGCCUCCUGGAUACGCCCGUCACCGACAUCAUCCUCCCGACGGUGACAUCCCCACGCCAUCGCCAUCGACUGACCCGGUGGACGGACACAUCUAUUCGGUGACGUCCCACAUCAGUCCUCCUGGUGGCUCUGACACUCAGUUCAUAGUCCCCACUCAGACCUCAGGUCCUCAGCUGGGGUGUCAUCAGGUGAACCAUCCUGACGGCAUCGCUGUGGACUGGAUCGCCCGGAACCUGUACUGGACGGACACGGGAACGGACCGCAUCGAGGUGACACGCCUCAACGGAACCAUGAGGAAAAUCCUGAUAUCAGAGGACCUGGACGAGCCACGAGCCAUCGUACUGGAUCCUGUAGCUGGAUACAUGUACUGGACAGACUGGGGCGAGGUUCCUAAGAUUGAGCGUGCCGACCUGGAUGGGACGGAGAGACUAGUGAUGGUCAACACCUCCCUGGGCUGGCCCAAUGGCCUGGCGCUGGACUACACAGACCGGAUGAUCUACUGGGGCGACGCCAAGACGGACAAGAUAGAGGUGAUGUGUAUGGACGGUUCAGGCAGGAGGAUCCUGGUAGAAGAUAAGCUACCUCACAUCUUUGGCUUCACUCUGCUGGGGGACUAUGUGUACUGGACAGACUGGCAGAGACGCAGCAUCGAGAGGGUUCACAAACACACCAUGGAGAGAGAGUUCAUCAUAGACCAGCUACCAGACCUGAUGGGGCUCAAAGCUACAUAUGUACACCAGACCUUCGGUACCAACCUGUGUGCGGAGGCUAAUGGUGGGUGUAGCCACCUAUGCCUGUAUAAGCCGGUGGGCGUCCAGUGUGCCUGUCCCAUUGGUCUAGAGCUGAUAGCUGACCUGUCCACCUGCAUCGUACCAGAAGCCUUCCUCCUCUUCUCCCGACACACAGACAUCAGACGCAUCUCCUUGGAAACCAACAACAACAACGUGGCCAUCCCGCUGACCGGGGUUAAAGAGGCGUCUGCACUUGACUUUGACAUCACCGACAACCGGAUCUACUGGACAGAUAUCACACUGAAGACAAUCAGUCGUGCGUUUAUGAAUGGCAGCGCUCUGGAACACGUGGUGGAGUUUGGCCUGGACUACCCAGAAGGCAUGGCGGUGGACUGGUUGGGGAAGAAUCUGUACUGGGCCGACACUGGGACCAAUCGUAUUGAGGUGGCCAAGCUGGAUGGACAGCACAGACAGGUCCUAGUCUGGAAGGAUCUGGACAGCCCUCGAGCCCUGGCACUGGACCCUGCUGAGGGGUUUAUGUACUGGACAGAGUGGGGUGGGAAGCCCAAGAUUGACCGCUCAGCGAUGGACGGGACGGGGCGGAUCACUCUGGUGCCCAACGUGGGCCGAGCCAACGGGCUGACCAUCGACUAUGCCGAGAGGCGACUGUACUGGACUGACCUGGACACGACACUCAUAGAGUCCUCCAACAUGCUGGGUCUGGAGCGUGAGGUUAUAGCCGACGACCUCCCCCACCCCUUUGGUUUGACCCAGUACCAGGAUUACAUCUAUUGGACGGACUGGUCUCAGCGCAGCAUCGAACGGGCCAAUAAGACAUCGGGCCAGAACCGUACGGUCAUCCAGGGUCACCUAGACUACGUGAUGGACAUCUUGGUCUUCCACUCGUCACGCCAGGGGGGCUGGAACGCCUGCGCCUCCACCAAUGGGCAAUGCUCACACCUCUGUCUGGCUGUACCAAUCAGCAGCUUCGUCUGCGGAUGUCCCGCCCACUUCUCCCUCAACAAUGACAACAAGACCUGCAGUGCCCCUACGUCGUUCAAGUCAGCCAUUAACCGGAUGGUGAUGGAUGAGCACCAGUCUCCUGACAUCAUCCUUCCCAUCCACAGUCUGAGGAACGUCAGGGCUAUAGACUACUGACCCCCUGGAAAAACAACUGUACUGGAUCGACUCCAAACAGAACGCAAUGAACGGGAACAUUAGGUCCACUGAUCCAGACCCUUUUAUGACGGUGGUGUGGAGCCAAGUGGGCGGUCCUAACCUGGGCCUCCAGCCGUUUGACCUGAGCAUCGACAUCUACAGCCGCUUCAUCUACUGGACCAGCGAGGUCACUAAUGUCAUUAACGUGACGAGGACAGACGGCAGCCGGGUGGGAGUGGUGCUGAGAGGAGAACACGACAGACCCAGAGCCAUCGUGGUCAACCCAGAGCGAGGGUACAUGUACUUUACCAACCUGCAGGAGCGCAGUCCUAAGAUAGAACGAGCAGCGCUCGACGGGACAGAGAGAGAGGUGUUGUUCUUCAGUGGCCUGGGGAAGCCCGUUGCCCUGGCCAUAGACAAUGAGGUCGGCAAGCUGUUCUGGGUCGACUCAGACCUCCGGCGCAUCGAGAGCAGUGACCUAUCAGGAGCCAAUCGGAUUGUGAUUGAGGACUCCAACAUCCUCCAGCCGGUUGGUCUGACGGUGUUUGGUAACCACCUGUACUGGAUCGACCGUCAGCAGCAGAUGAUCGAACGCAUCGACAAGACGACCAGGGAGGGAAGGACCAAGAUCCAGGCUCGCAUUGCCUCUCUCAGCGACAUUCACGCUGUCUACGACCUCGACAUGAGCGAGUACAGUAAGCACCCUUGUACCUGGGACAACGGAGGCUGUUCUCACAUCUGUAUCGUCAAGGGAGACAGGAACCACACGCUGCUCCUGUCCUGUUCAUCUGGUCCUGCUGCAGAAUGAACUCUCCUGUGGAGAACCCCCCACCUGUUCUCCAGAACAGUUCUCCUGUGUAUCCGGGAGGUGGACUGUAUUCCCCCACAGCGUGGCGGUGUGACGGCUACCCAGAGUGUGACGACAGCAGCGACGAGGGAGACUGUCCUGUCUGUUCAGAUUCAGAGUUUCAGUGUGACUCCAGACAGUGUGUUGACCUCAGCUCCGCUGCAACGGAGAGGUCAGCUGUCAGGAUCACUCAGACGAGAACAAAUGUGAAGUGCGCUGCUCUCCGGACCACUUCAGCUGUUCCAGCGGUCAGUGUGUGGGGAAACAUCAAGUGUGACCACUCUACAGACUGCUCUGACAACUCGGACGAGAUGGGCUGCUGUAAACCGACUGAAGAGCCGUCCUCCCAGCCCACCAACACCAUCGGCUCCAUUGUGGGGUUGUCAUGGCGCUGUUUGUGGUGGGUGCCAUCUACUUGGUGUGCCAGCGUGCUCUGUCCCCAGAUGAAGGAUGA